rnacentral:rRNA from 1 species
GCACAAGCGGUGGAGCAUGUGGUUAAUUCGACGCAACGCGAAGAACCUUACCAGGGCUUGACAUCCCCUGACCGCGUAUGAAAGUACGUUUUCACCUCGGGUGACAGGGAGACAGGUGGUGCAUGGUUGUCGUCAGCUCGUGUCGUGAGAUGUUGGGUUAAGUCCCGCAACGAGCGCAACCCCUACGUUUAGUUGCUAACAGGUGAAGCUGAGCACUCUAGACGAACUGCCGUUGACAAAACGGAGGAAGGUGGGGAUGACGUCAAAUCAUCAUGCCCCUUAUGUUCUGGGCUACACACGUGCUACAAUGGCCGGUACAGACGGACGCAAAGCCGCGAGGUGGAGCAAAUUCUAAAAAGCCGGUCUCAGUUCGGAUUGCAGGCUGCAAUUCGCCUGCAUGAAGUCGGAAUCGCUAGUAAUCGCAGGUCAGCAUACUGCGGUGAAUACGUUCCCGGGCCUU